rnacentral:ncRNA from 1 species
GGACCCGGGAGAGACCGCCCAUGCGGCGCCGAAGGGGAGAGACGCGAGAAACUCUCAGGCAAAAAGACCGGGUCU